rnacentral:misc_RNA from 1 species
AAGUCGUAACAAGGUUUCCGUAGGUGAACCUGCGGAAGGAUCAUUACCAAAUCCAAAUACCCAAACCCCAUGUGAACUAUUGUAUAGUCUGUCUUUGGGAGAAAAACCAUCCAAGAAAAUUUUAAGCUUUUAUUAGCUCAUUUUUUUUCUUGGAUUUUUUCUCCCAAUAGAGUCCGGCGCAACUUUAUUGUUGUGUCCAGAUUCGAAACCCCUUAAAACCACUUGAUUUUUCUGUUGGAAUUUCUUUUUUUAAUUUUUUAAAUAAAAGACAACUUUUAACGGCGGAUCUCUUGGCUCGU